rnacentral:rRNA from 1 species
UUCCGGUUGAUCCUGCCGGAGGUCACUGCUAUCAGUGUUCGAUUAAGCCAUGCGAGUCAAAUGUUCUUCGUGAACAUGGCGUACUGCUCAGUAACACGUGGAUAAUCUGCCCUAAGGUCAGGCAUAACACCGGGAAACUGGUGAUAAUUCCUGAUAUACCAUAGAUACUGGAAUGUUCUGUAGUCAAAAGCUCCGGCGCCUUAGGAUGAAUCUGCGGCCUAUCAGGUCGUAGUGGGUGUAACGUACCUACUAGCCGACGACGGGUACGGGUUGUGAGAGCAAGAGCCCGGAGAUGGAUUCUGAGACAUGAAUCCAGGCCCUACGGGGCGCAGCAGGCGCGAAAACUUUACAAUGCGGGAAACCGCGAUAAGGGGACACUGAGUGCCAGCAUACAAUGUUGGCUGUCCGCAUGUAUAAAUAGCAUGUGUUAGCAAGGGCCGGGCAAGACCGGUGCCAGCCGCCGCGGUAACACCGGCGGCCCGAGUGGUGGCCACUAUUAUUGGGUCUAAAGGGUCCGUAGCCGGUUUGAUCAGUCUUCCGGGAAAUCUGACAGCUCAACUGUUAGGCUUCCGGGGGAUACUGUCAGACUUGGGACCGGGAGAGGUAAGAGGUACUACAGGGGUAGGAGUGAAAUCUUGUAAUCCUUGUGGGACCACCAGUGGCGAAGGCGUCUUACCAGAACGGGUCCGACGGUGAGGGACGAAAGCUGGGGGCACGAACCGGAUUAGAUACCCGGGUAGUCCCAGCCGUAAACGAUGCUCGCUAGGUGUCUGGGAUGGUGCGACCGUUUCAGGUGCCGCAGGGAAGCCGUGAAGCGAGCCACCUGGGAAGUACGGCCGCAAGGCUGAAACUUAAAGGAAUUGGCGGGGGAGCACUACAACGGGUGGAGCCUGCGGUUUAAUUGGACUCAACGCCGGAAAACUCACCUGGGGCGACAGCAAUAUGUAGGUCAGGCUGAAGGUCUUACCUGAAUCGCUGAGAGGUGGUGCAUGGCC